AAAAAAAAAAAAAAAGCCAGUUGACCCUGCAAUGUGGACUUUAUUUGCUCAGAUGUCAGAGCUUUGUGCUUUUGAGGAGUUGCAGUAUGAGGCUAUAGACAAACUUCAUGUUUAUAAGUCCAUCUGAACCCACUGGCUUUUGACAACUAGAACUUCUACCAUGCACAUUGCCCCAGACAAUUUCUCUCACCUUCUCUCCUCCCAAUCCCCCCCCAAUUCUUAAAUCAAG